CCACACAAACAGAGCUGGAGGUGGUGUUGUGAAUGUCCCCGUACCCAGCCUCACCACACAAACAGAGCUGGAGGUGGUGUUGUGAAUGUCCCCGUACCCAGCCUCACCACACAGAGCUGGAGGUGGUGUUGUGAAUGUCCCCGUACCCAGCCUCACCACACAAACAGAGCUGGAGGUGGUGUUGUGAAUGUCCCCGUACCCAG